UACGUAGGGGCCAAGCGUUGUCCGGAUUUAUUGGGCGUAAAGAGCUCGUAGGCGGUUCGGCAAGUCGAAUGUGAAAUCUCCACGCUCAACGUGGAGGGGUCAUUCGAUACUGCCGUGACUUGAGUACGGUAGGGGAGUGUGGAAUUCCCGGUGUAGCGGUGAAAUGCGCAGAUAUCAGGAGGAACACCGGUGGCGAAGGCGGGUCUCUGGGCCGAUACUGACGCUGAGGAGCGAAAGCGUGGGGAGCGAACAGG
rnacentral:rRNA from 1 species